CUUCUCUUGAGAGCGGCGGACGGGUGAGUAAUGCCUAGGAAUCUGCCUGGUAGUGGGGGAUAACGUUCGGAAACGGACGCUAAUACCGCAUACGUCCUACGGGAGAAAGCAGGGGACCUUCGGGCCUUGCGCUAUCAGAUGAGCCUAGGUCGGAUUAGCUAGUUGGUGAGGUAAUGGCUCACCAAGGCGACGAUCCGUAACUGGUCUGAGAGGAUGAUCAGUCACACUGGAACUGAGACACGGUCCAGACUCCUACGGGAGGCAGCAGUGGGGAAUAUUGGACAAUGGGCGAAAGCCUGAUCCAGCCAUGCCGCGUGUGUGAAGAAGGUCUUCGGAUUGUAAAGCACUUUAAGUUGGGAGGAAGGGUUGUAGAUUAAUACUCUGCAAUUUUGACGUUACCGACAGAAUAAGCACCGGCUAACUCUGUGCCAGCAGCCGCGGUAAUACAGAGGGUGCAAGCGUUAAUCGGAAUUACUGGGCGUAAAGCGCGCGUAGGUGGUUUGUUAAGUUGGAUGUGAAAUCCCCGGGCUCAACCUGGGAACUGCAUUCAAAACUGACUGACUAGAGUAUGGUAGAGGGUGGUGGAAUUUCCUGUGUAGCGGUGAAAUGCGUAGAUAUAGGAAGGAACACCAGUGGCGAA
rnacentral:rRNA from 1 species